rnacentral:piRNA from 1 species
UGAAGCCACCUGGUCCUGCUCACUGUCA